rnacentral:misc_RNA from 1 species
GAAAUGCGAUAAGUAGUGUGAAUUGCAGAAUUCAGUGAAUCAUCGAAUCUUUGAACGCACAUUGCGCCCCUUGGUAUUCCAUGGGGCAUGCCUGUUCAAGCGUCAUUUGUACCCUCAAGCUCUGCUUGGUGUUGGGUGUUUGUCCCGUCUCCGCGCGUGGACUCGCCCCAAAGUGAUUGGCAGCCGGCGUACUGGUCCCGGAGCGCAGCACAUGUCGCGCAAACGAGUGCCUUGGUACGGCGGCGUCCAUAAGCCCCUCUCUCACGCUCUUGACCUCGGAUCAGGUAGGGAUACCCGCUGAACUUAAGC